CCUACGGGUGACAGCAGUGGGGAAUAUUGCACAAUGGGGGAAACCCUGAUGCAGCGACGCCGCGUGAGUGAAGAAGUAAUUCGUUAUGUAAAGCUCUAUCAGCAGGGAAGAAAAUGACGGUACCUGAGUAAGAAGCCCCGGCUAACUACGUGCCAGCAGCCGCGGUAAUAAGUAGGGGGCAAGCGUUAUCCGGAUUUACUGGGUGUAAAGGGAGCGUAGACGGCAGUGCAAGGCUGGAGUGAAAGGCGGGGGCUCAACCCUCGGACUGCUCUGGAAACUGUACGGCUGGAGUGCAGGAGAGGUAAGUGGAAUUCCUAGUGUAGCGGGGAAAUGCGUAGAUAUUAGGAGGAACACCAGUGGCGAAGGCGGCGUACUGGACUGUAACUGACGUUGAGGAUCGAAAGCGUGGGGAGCAAACAGGAUUAGAUAUAGUC
rnacentral:rRNA from 1 species